rnacentral:rRNA from 1 species
UUUAUGGAGAGUUUGAUCCUGGCUCAGGAUGAACGCUGGCGGCGUGCCUAAUACAUGCAAGUCGAGCGAACGGACGAGAAGCUUGCUUUUCUGAUGUUAGCGGCGGACGGGUGAGUAACACGUGGAUAACCUACCUAUAAGACUGGGAUAACUUCGGGAAACCGGAGCUAAUACCGGAUAAUAUUUUGAACCGCAUGGUUCAAAAGU